UGGGGAAUAUUGGACAAUGGGCGCAAGCCUGAUCCAGCAACGCCGCGUGGAGGAUGAAGGUCUUCGGAUCGUAAACUCCUGUCAGAUGGGACGAAGGCUCGGCGGCAAAUAGUUGUCGAGCUUGACGGUACCAUCAGAGGAAGCCCCGGCUAACUCCGUGCCAGCAGCCGCGGUAAUACGGAGGGGGCGAGCGUUAUUCGGAAUUAUUGGGCGUAAAGGGCGCGUAGGCGGCCCGGUAAGUCAAAGGUGAAAUCCCUCGGCUCAACUGAGGAACUGCCUUUGAAACUGUCGGGCUUGAGGCCGGGAGGGGGUAGCGGAAUUCCCAGUGUAGCGGUGAAAUGCGUAGAUAUUGGGAGGAACACCAGUGGCGAAGGCGGCUACCUGGACCGGUUCUGACGCUGAUGCGCGAAAGCGUGGGUAGCAAACAG
rnacentral:rRNA from 1 species